UUGCUCUCUCCGGCAGCACAUGUACCAAAAUUGAACUUAUAUAGAGAUUAGCAUGGCCCCUUGUGCAAGGGAGACAAGAAAAUUCGUGAAGUGUUCCAUAAAAAA
ensembl:snRNA U6 U6 spliceosomal RNA